CCUUAACAGUUACAUGGUGUAACUGACACUUGCCAAGAUAAGGAGAUUUACAUG
rnacentral:ncRNA from 12 species